AAUCCAUAGGUUAAUGAGGCGAACCGGGGGAACUGAAACAUCUAAGUACCCCGAGGAAAAGAAAUCAACCGAGAUUCCCCCAGUAGCGGCGAGCGAACGGGGAGGAGCCCAGAGCCUGAAUCAGCAUGUGUGUUAGUGGAAGCGUCUGGAAAGGCGCGCGAUACAGGGUGACAGCCCCGUACACAAAAGCGCAUGUGCUGUGAGCUCGAUGAGUAGGGCGGGACACGUGGUAUCCUGUCUGAAUAUGGGGGGACCAUCCUCCAAGGCUAAAUACUCCUGACUGACCGAUAGUGAACCAGUACCGUGAGGGAAAGGCGAAAAGAACCCCGGCGAGGGGAGUGAAAAAGAACCUGAAACCGUGUACGUACAAGCAGUGGGAGCACCCUUUGGGGUGUGACUGCGUACCUUUUGUAUAAUGGGUCAGCGACUUAUAUUCUGUAGCAAGGUUAACCGUAUAGGGGAGCCGGAGGGAAACCGAGUCUUAAUUGGGCGUUAAGUUGCAGGGUAUAGACCCGAAACCCGG
rnacentral:rRNA from 1 species